GGUGACGGGAGAAGGUGGGAGGAGUCCCCAGUCCUGUGUGGGUGGCUAAGGGGCGGUGACGGGAGAAGGUGGGAGGAGUCCCCAGUCCUGUGUGGGUGGCUAAGGGGCGGUGACGGGAGAAGGUGGGAGGAGUACCCAGUCCUGUGUGGGUGGCUAAGGGCGGUGACGGGAGAAGGUGGGAGGAGUCCCAAGUCCUGUGUGGGUGGCUAAGGGGCGGUGACGGGAGAAGGUGGGAGGAGUCCCCAGUCCUGUGUGGGUGGCUAAGAGGAGUCCCCAGUCCUGUGUGGGUGGCUAAGGGGCGGUGACGGGAGAAGGUGGGAGGAGUCCCCAGUCCUGUGUGGGUGGCUAGGGGGCGGUGUCGGGAGAAGGUGGGAGGAGUCCCAAGUCCUGUGUGGGUGGCUAAGGGGCGGUGACGGGAGAAGGUGGGAGGAGUCCCCAGUCCUGUGUGGGUGGCUAAGGGGCGGUGACGGGAGAAGGUGAGAGGAGUCCCCAGUCCUGUGUGGGUGGCUAAGGGGCAGUGAUGGGAGAAGGUGGGAGGAGUCCCCAGUCCUGUGUGGGUGGCUAAGAGGAGUCCCCAGUCCUGUGUGGGUGGCUAAGGGGCGGUGACGGGAGAAGGUGGGAGGAGUCCCCAGUCCUGUGUGGGUGGCUAAGGGGUGGUGUCGGGAGAAGGUGGGAGGAGUCCCAAGUCCUGUGUGGGUGGCUAAGGGGCGGUGACGGGAGAAGGUGGGAGGAGUCCCCAGUCCUGUGUGGGUGGCUAAGGGGCGGUGACGGGAGAAGGUGGGAGGAGUCCCCAGUCCUGUGUGGGUGGCUAAGGGGCGGUGACGGGAGAAGGUGGGAGGAGUCCCCAGUCCUGUGUGGGUGGCUAUGGGGCGGUGACGGGAGAAGGUGGGAGGAGUCCCCAGUCCUGUGUGGGUGGCUAAGGGGCGGUGACGGGAGAAGGUGGGAGGAGUCCCCAGUCCUGUGUGGGUGGCUAAGGGGCGGUGACGGGAGAAGGUGGGAGGAGUCCCCAGUCCUGUCACACAUCAAACCAUCACUCUUUUCAUUAAUGUCUUCUCUUCUCUUUCCUGUUCUUCUCUGUUCUGUCUCUCAGCUUGUGGCCACCAUGUUUGCUUCUUUCUGGCGCAGUCUCUCU
ensembl:lncRNA